GGGGAAAUGAGGAACCACAUCGGCAGCUGUGAAACCAGAAAUGCCUGAUAAACACCAGACACGAGAUGCAAGAAUGUCUGGCUUUGGAGGUUUCUCAUCCGUUUCACAGUGAACUGCUUUUGAGCAUCGCAAGUCCUUGGCAAUCACACCAAAUUUCUCACUCUGAAAGCCCAAGAACAGCUUGGCACCAAGACAGCUCCUGUAGCAUUAACGGAGCUGGGGUAGAUAUUCCAUCAUCCUUAGUCAUGAAGAAAUCAAGGUUAUUGGAUCCCAAAGCAUGAGUAGCACAUGGUCUGUGAAAGAUCUACUUCGGUACCCGAAGCGCCCAGAGCCUUCAAAACAGAAGUCAAGAUGGGACCUGGGAUGGAAAAUCCACUGGUUACGUUUCUGGCCCCAGCUCGAUGGCCUUGGCUGUGUUGCAGAUCCUGAAAGCCCCACCAGGUGGAAGACGUUAACUGCCUGCUGCCCACCAGCACACAGACCCCAGACCCGCUGGAACCAGAAGGUCAAUGAUGCUGACUUCCGAUGACCUCACCACCACCCAAUCAAAAGAAAGUCCAUGAGCUGAUCACACUCUCUUUGAACCAUAACUAUAAAAGUUUCUA